rnacentral:rRNA from 1 species
GAUGAACGCUGGCGGCGUGCCUAAUACAUGCAAGUCGAGCGAACGGACGAGAAGCCUGCUCCUCUGGUGUUAGCGGCGGACGGGUGAGUAACACGUGGAUAACCUACCUAUAAGACUGGGAUAACUUCGGGAAACCGUAGCUAAUACCGGAUAAUAUUUUGAACCGCAUGGUUCAAAAGUGAAAGACGGUCUUGCUGUCACUUAUAGAUGGAUCCGCGCUGCAUUAGCUAGUUGGUAAGGUAACGGCUUACCAAGGCAACGAUGCGUAGCCGACCUGAGAGGGUGAUCGGCCACACUGGAACUGAGACACGGUCCAGACUCCUACGGGAGGCAGCAGUAGGGAAUCUUCCGCAAUGGGCGAAAGCCUGACGGAGCAACGCCGCGUGAGUGAUGAAGGUCUUCGGAUCGUAAAACUCUGUUAUUAGGGAAGAACAUAUGUGUAAGUAACUAUGCACAUCUUGACGGUACCUAAUCAGAAAGCCACGGCUAACUACGUG